CCUACGGGAGGCAGCAGUGGGGAAUCUUGCGCAAUGGGCGGAAGCCUGACGCAGCAACGCCGCGUGCGGGAAGAAGGCCUUAGGGUCGUAAACCGCUUUCAGGGGGGACGAAGCUUCCGGGGUUAAUAGCCUACGGGGUGACGGUACUCCCAAAAGAAGGUCCGGCUAACUACGUGCCAGCAGCCGCGGUAAUACGUAGGGACCGAGCGUUGUCCGGAAUCAUUGGGCGUAAAGAGCGUGUAGGCGGCUUGGUAGGUCUCGUGUGAAAUCCCGCGGCUCAACCGCGGAUCCGCACGGGAAACCCCCUAAGCUCGAGUCCGGAAGAGGAGAGUGGAAUUCCUGGUGUAGCGGUGAAAUGCGCAGAUAUCAGGAAGAACACCCGUAGCGAAGGCGGCUCUCUGGGACGGUACUGACGCUGAGACGCGAAAGCGUGGGGAGCAAACAGGAUUAGAUACCCUGGUAGUCCACGCCGUAAACGAUGGGCGCUAGGUGUGGGUAGGUGUCGACUCCUCCGUCGCGACGACUACGCAUAAGUCGCCCGCCGUCGGGUAGGUACGGCCGCGAGGACGUAAACCUACAAAGGAAGUUAGACGGCGUGAGACGUGCCGACGGCGACGACGAGGGAGUAGG
rnacentral:rRNA from 1 species